GGGAACUAAGAAUAUUUCUGCAGCAGAGUCAUCAUUUGGCUCCAAACAACAAAAAGAAUAUUUAUUCAGCCUUGGGGCAUAAUAUAAUCUAAAGAGGGACAAGUGAUAUUUCAGAAGUCUGGGAGCACUGCAUACUGCACCAGAGCUGAGGAAGAAGCUGUUUGUCAUCAGCCUCUGCAGAACAUUGCCAUUAGCUCCGUUGUUCAAGUCCCAUCAUCUCAGCUGAGAGACCUGAAAGGCAGCUGAAGCAGGGUGACACUUGCCCUGCAGGACCUGUCCUGCCUCUUGGCUUUUGGACUUUGUUGAAAGAAGUUACACAUUGCUGUUAGUGCUGCCAGAACUGAGGUGUGUCUCCCAUAUUUAUUAGGACAUUAUUUGUGGGGAGUGUGGGUGAGAGAAGAAAAGCAGCUUUCAAUUUAAAGUUUGCACUGCUCUGAAAUCCUGUUUCAUCUUGCAGGAUGGUAGUUGCUGUCACUGUCUCUUUUCACCCCAGAGUCAUUUCUGACUGUGUUUUGCUUGCUGAAUUCAGUUAAUUGUGGACCGGUACACAUUUCCCACAUGUUCCUGAAUACGUGAAUGUAUCUUCAUUUUAGCAUUUGGUAUUGAAAAUUCCAUUUAUUUCUUUGUAUAAUCAGUAUUAGCAGUACACUCUGGUUUAUUUACUUACGUAUAAAUUACGUCAGGUCUUCCAAGAGCAGACAACCUCAACUUAACUGCUGCAGUUGCUGUACUGUGAGAAGAUUAAAGCAUUUUAAAGUG
rnacentral:lncRNA from 7 species